UCUCCAUCGCCUGACGCCGCCUCGUUUGAAGGUCGCGGCCGCUGUCUCCGAUGAAGCCCGCCGCCUCCCGUAUAGGACUGCACCACCUCCCCCUCCAGAGCCAUGUUCUCUCCCGUCCAGGUCCCUAUCGCCAUCUUCCCUUUCCAAGAUCUGAGAUUGACGAUGAGGCGAAGGUUCCGUUCCGCAUCGUGUUUCAUAGGCGCUCAUGAUCCCCUCCAUGUAUGUUCCAGCUAGCUUCAUAAUGGAGGAACCAACAAAUUUGGACUCAUGGUUCAGCAUCAGGGAGAAGGAAAACGUCAAAGCUUCACUUACGUAUGUACUAGCUUAUAUUGCAGGACGUCAAAGCUUCACUUAUGUAUGUAGCUUAUAUUGCAGGACUAAAGUUUGCUUAUGUAUCGACCUCUGCAAGGGAAGAUUGCAGGUAUAGGUCCUUGCAGUUAUGGUGUGCUCCAGCAUCUACAUGCGGGAAAGGCGGAUAAGCAGCCAGAGGGAGAUGAGAUAAAAGAAAGCCAGAAUUGGUUCAACUUGCGACGACCCCAUCUACGCACAGCAGGAGGAGGAACUCAUGGGGAGAGCAAACGAGGAUUUAGAAGUCAGGAGGGAGAUCUUAUGGGAUAUUUCAAGUUUCAACUUGUUACCAAAUGUAU